rnacentral:lncRNA from 1 species
GCGCGAGCAGCGAAAGAAGUCUUUGGUUUUUUUCUCAGCCGGCAUCUCUUGAGCAAGCAGAGAAGAUCCAUUUUCCCACCUUCACUUGCAGCAGGAUCCACAACAAUGAUUGGACGAGCCAAUGCAUCCGCUUUGAUCCUAUUCACCUCCUCUUUUGGGAGCAGCCCAUGUUUCUCCUGACGAAGAGAGUUAAAGUAGCCAACGUCAUUCGUGGUACCUAGCAGGGGAGUUCAACCCAACAUUUCAGCAGCUCAUGAGGUCCGCAACCUCUUCAUUUCUCUCAAUCAUCGGCCUAGCUCGCGUCAUGUCCAAAAGCCUAAAAGGACAUGAGCCAUGUGACUU